UAUCUAUCUAUCUAUCUAUCUAUCUAUCUAUCUAUCUAUGUAAUUGCGCGUGUGUGUGUGUAUAUGUGUGAGUGGAUCGUCGUACUUAUUACAUGUAUGCGAAUAUAGUCACACAACAGAUGAGCUUAGUUAGACACACACAGCACGGGAGCAGCGCGCGUAUAGUGAAACUGCAGUGAGGCAGAGUGAGAGAUAUUUGGAAGUAGCAGAUGAAGUUGGUCUUAUUUUCCCACCACAACCACACCACCACCAUCACUACCACCACUACCACCACCACCACCACCUGAUUUGAGAAUCUAGUUGCUGCCUUACCUCCACUUUGCUCUAAAACACGUUCGGAUUAUCCAAAAUAUACAACACAGAGAAAGAAAGAAAGAGAGAGAAAGUAAGAGAGACAUCUUGUAAUAGAUUACUACAAAACCAAACUCUAAAAUCAUAUAUAUAUAUAUAUAUAUAUAUAUAUAUAUAUGUGUAUAUAUAAAUUAAUUUAUAAAUAUAUAUAUAUAUAUUUACAUAUCUAUCUAUCAAUAUAUAUAUAUAUAUAUGUCAUUCUGCUCCUUCGCUUCUUUGCUGUUUGAAUUCUUCCAGUGAAAGAAAGUAGGAAGGUGGUUCGACUCUCGCUGUUUCUCUCGCUUUCCACUCCUUAUAAUAUCGGACAAAACGAAUGCUGUGAGUACACAGAA
rnacentral:lncRNA from 1 species